GAGAAAAGUGGAGUCAGAAGCUCUCUUUCUCAGUUUUAUUUUCGGAGAGUGUGGAGCUCUCAAUCUCAUCUUCUACCUCACUGCCUCUCUUCCUAUUUUCACAACUCAUAUCAUCAAAUCAACCAAGCACUAGUCUUUAGAGAUUCAUCCAAACAAAGAGAGAUUAGAUAUAAAUACCAAAUUUGGGUGGUGCUGAUCUGGUCUGUUACUCUGCUUCUGGUUUGGUUUGGUUUGGUUUGCUUCCACUGCCGUCUGCCCAACCCCGCCCACUCCCAGGUCCUAGUAUAUAAUGAAUGACACGUGGGGUCUAUAAAGUCUAAUGGUAAAAACUAGGCCACAAACACACCAAACCCCACUACACCGAAUCUGAGAAGCUAUCACAAACAGAGCUGCAAGAUAGGGGGAAAGAAUGGGCUGAGAAAUUGCGGAAGAACAACAAAGGCUUCUUGUGUAUUUGAAUGCAACAGGGGGGCAUACAUCAUCCUGGAAUCUCCUUUGAAGCAGUUACUCCAAGGUCAUAGGUCCUGAUAGUUUGACAAGACAUGAAGAUGAAAUCAAGAAAGAUUGCAUCUCAAUGUGCUAUGCAGGUAGCUACUCUACACUUCCUUUUUCAAAAAAAAAAAGUUCGUACGUCUUUUUUGAUACGAAAAUGUUCAUACUCUAUACAAUAAGACAUAGCGUUAGUGGGUUAUUAGGACUCAUAAAGUUACAGAUUGUAAUUAUAUUCUUGUUGUCAAUCAAUGGCCAUGUGUCUCAUAUAAACAAGUUGA